CCCCUAGAUGUUCUGGGCCGCACGCGCGCUACACUGAACAGUUCAACAAGUCUUAACCUUGGCCGAUAGGUCUGGGUAAUCUUUGAACGCUGUUCGUGAUUGGGAUAGACCUUUGCAAUUAUGGGUCUUCAACGAGGAAUUCCUAGUAAACGCAAGUCAUCAGCUUGCAUUGAUUACGUCCCUGCCCUUUGUACACACCGCCCGUCACACCUACCGAUUGAAUGGUCCGGUGAAAUCUCGGGACGGCGGCUUGGUCGCUUGCGUCCGACUGCUGAAACUUGAUUAAACCAUAUCAUUUAGAGGAAGGUGAANUCGUAACA
rnacentral:rRNA from 1 species